CUGAGUACGGCGGAACACGUGAAAUUCCGUCGGAAUCCGGGAGGACCAUCUCCCAAGGCUAAAUACUCCCUAGUGACCGAUAGUGAACCAGUACCGUGAGGGAAAGGUGAAAAGCACCCCGGAAGGGGAGUGAAACAGUUCCUGAAACCGUGUGCCUACAAGUAGUUAGAGCCCGUUAAUGGGUGAUAGCGUGCCUUUUGUAGAAUGAACCGGCGAGUUACGAUUUGUUGCAAGGUUAAGCGGAAAAAGCGGAGCCGUAGCGAAAGCGAGUCUGAAUAGGGCGCAUAAGUAACAGGUCGUAGACCCGAAACCAGGUGAUCUACCCAUGUCCAGGAUGAAGGUAAGGUAAUACUUACUGGAGGUCCGAACCCACGCACGUUGAAAAGUGCGGGGAUGAGGUGUGGGUAGCGGAGAAAUUCCAAUCGAACUUGGAGAUAGCUGGUUCUCUCCGAAAUAGCUUUAGGGCUAGCCUCGAGGUAAAGAGUCAUGGAGGUAGAGCACUGUUUGGACUAGGGGCCCUUCUCGGGUUACCGAAUUCAGAUAAACUCCGAAUGCCAUGUACUUAUACUCGGGAGUCAGACUGCGAGUGAUAAGAUCCGUAGUCGAAAGGGAAACAGCCCAGACCACCAGUUAAGGUCCCCAAAUAUAUGUUAAGUGGAAAAGGAUGUGGGGUUGCUUAGACAACCAGGAUGUUGGCUUAGAAGCAGCCACCAUUGAAAGAGUGCGUAAUAGCUCACUGGUCGAGUGACCCCGCGCCGAAAAUGUACCGGGGCUAAACAUAUUACCGAAACUGUGGAUGAACCUCUUUAGAGGUUCGUGGUAGGAGAGCGUUCUAAGGGCGGUGAAGUCAGACCGGAAGGACUGGUGGAGCGCUUAGAAGUGAGAAUGCCGGUAUGAGUAGCGAAAGAAGGGUGAGAAUCCCUUCCACCGAAUAUCUAAGGUUUCCUGAGGAAGGCUCGUCCGCUCAGGGUUAGUCGGGACCUAAGCCGAGGCCGAUAGGCGUAGGCGAUGGACAACAGGUAGAGAUUCCUGUACCAGUGCUAAUUGUUUAACCGAUGGGGUGACACAGAAGGAUAGGGAAUCGCACGAAUGGAAAUGUGCGUCCAAGCAGUGAGUGUGAGAAGUAGGCAAAUCCGCUUCUCGCGAAGCAUGAGCUGUGAUGGGGAAGGAAAUUAAGUACGGAAGUUCCUGAUUUCACGCUGUCAAGAAAAGCCUCUAG
rnacentral:rRNA from 1 species